CUACAAGUCCUUCACGGGUUCCGACAACAGACGACAGGCGUCUUGGCGGCGUCGGAGGAAGGCUCGACAGGGUUCAGCUGAUUGGAACCCUACUAUAUCAAUUAUUUUCUAUUUAAUUCCGAGAGCGAGCCCUCCUGCCUCUAAAAUCAUCUUCCGAAUCAGAUGAAUAAACAGACAUGGAAUCCUCGCUCCUUGAAUCGUCAUCCGACGAAGAAAGCGAAACAUCACGACGACGAAAACCACAAAACAAAGUACAGGGCCCAUUUCUUCUCAUCAAGGGCUUUGACACCAAUUCCCCUCUCUAUACCCUGUUAUCUUCUCCAUUCCUGAAAAUCAGCGGUGGCUGCAGUGAAUUCAGGCGGAGGCACGAGCAGCCGGGGAGGAUUUUACGAUUCAUGGAACAGAUAGAUUGAAAGAAUCGAACGUAAAAUUGAAGAAUUAUCCAAUCCCUGUUUCGGUGGUACAGGCUACAACAAGCCUCAGGUCUUCAGAGGAGCGCUCGGUCUCUCGCUGCCGACCCGCAGCGGGUUAUGUGAAUGCAUUGUACAGGGGGUUUUUGACGGUACGAUGACUUGCUGUCAACGAGGACUUGCAGAAUCGUUCUGUGGAGGAAUCGUUCUCAAGCGAGGACGUCUUCUUGAGUUUUGCUUCUUCUCUAUCUGAUUUCUUUUCUCAUUCUUUCUUUUCAUUUGUAAUCAUGGUCAUUCUGGUCCUCUGGAGCAAGAGUUAAAACCAAGUAACCAACUCUCAAAUUCAAAUGUGAAUCGAUUCAGGGGAGGCCGAGGCACUCCUCCUUGACUACUUAUUACUGUUAGCCUUUUA